AAAACUUUCAACAACGGAUCUCUUGGUUCUGGCAUCGAUGAAGAACGCAGCAAAAUGCGAUAAGUAAUGUGAAUUGCAGAAUUCAGUGAAUCAUCGAAUCUUUGAACGCACAUUGCGCCCGCCAGUAUUCUGGCGGGCAUGCCUGUUCGAGCGUCAUUUCAACCCUCAAGCUCAGC
rnacentral:rRNA from 1 species